GGCUGGUCCAAAGGUAGUGAAUUACCUCACUUGAUUGUUCACAAGUCAGUUAUGGACUGAACUCCUUGUUCUACUCUUUCCCCCCUUCUCACUACUGCACCUGACUCAUCUUAA
ensembl:misc_RNA Y_RNA Y RNA